rnacentral:rRNA from 1 species
UACAGAGGGGGCAAGCGUUGUUCGGAAUUACUGGGCGUAAAGGGCUCGUAGGCGGCCAACUAAGUCAGACGUGAAAUCCCUCGGCUUAACCGGGGAACUGCGUCUGAUACUGGAUGGCUUGAGGUUGGGAGAGGGAUGCGGAAUUCCAGGUGUAGCGGUGAAAUGCGUAGAUAUCUGGAGGAACACCGGUGGCGAAGGCGGCAUCCUGGACCAAUUCUGACGCUGAGUGAGCGAAAGCCAGGGGAGCAAACGGG